rnacentral:tRNA from 2 species
GCCUGGCUAGCUCAGUCGGUAGAGCAUGAGACUUUUAAUCUCAGGGUCGUGGGUUCAUGCCCCACGUUGGGCG